rnacentral:rRNA from 1 species
UGUUGACCUCGGAUCAGGUAGGAAUACCCGCUGAACUUAAGCAUAUCAAUAAGCGGAGGAAA